rnacentral:rRNA from 1 species
AACGGCCGCGGUAUUUUUGACUGUGCGAAGGUAGCGUAAUCAUUUGCUCUUUAAUUGGGGGCUUGAAUGAAUGGCAAGACAGAAGCUAUGCUGUCUUUUCUUUAAUUUCUUGAAUUUAAUAUUGUUGUGAAGAAGCGACAAUACGGCCGUAGGACGAGAAGACCCUGUCGAGCUUUACUUGAAAGCGAUUUUGUUUAAUUAGAUUUUAAGGGCUAAUUAUUUUUUACUGGUAACAGUAUUGUUGUGAGUUACCCUUGAAGUAAGUUAUAUGGGAAAUUGUUUUAUUGUUUGGUUGGGGCAACCGCGGAGAAUAGGAAUCCUCCGCUUUUGUGAAGGAAAAGUUACUACUUUGUUGAAAUAAUUUGUUUAGCAGGAUCCACUGUUUAAGUGAUUAAAGGAAUAAGUUACCGCAGGGACAACAGCGUCAUUCUUUUGGAGAGUUCAUAUUGAUAAGGGAGUUUGCGACC